rnacentral:rRNA from 1 species
UGGGGAAUUUUGGACAAUGGGCGAAAGCCUGAUCCAGCCAUGCCGCGUGAGUGAUGAAGGCCUUAGGGUUGUAAAGCUCUUUCGCCGACGAAGAUAAUGACGGUAGUCGGAGAAGAAGCCCCGGCUAACUUCGUGCCAGCAGCCGCGGUAAUACGAAGGGGGCUAGCGUUGUUCGGAAUCACUGGGCGUAAAGCGCACGUAGGCGGAUUGUUAAGUCAGGGGUGAAAGCCUGGAGCUCAACUCCAGAACUGCCCUUGAUACUGGCAAUCUCGAGUCCGGAAGAGGUAAGUGGAACUGCGAGUGUAGAGGUGAAAUUCGUAGAUAUUCGCAAGAACACCAGUGGCGAAGGCGGCUUACUGGUCCGGUACUGACGCUGAGGUGCGAAAGCGUGGGGAGCAAAACAGGAUUAGAUACCCUGGUAGUCCACGCCGUAAACGAUGGAGGCUAGCCGUUGGCGAGCAUGCUCGUCAGUGGCGCAGCUAACGCAUUAAGCCUCCCGCCUGGGGAGUACGGUCGCAAGAUUAAAACUCAAAUGAAUUGACGGGGUCAUAGCUG